UUAUUCCAGCAUGUGAAUGAGAGAAGAAACUGUGUUUUUAUAUUUUUACUAUGAAUUUCUGAAAAAUUAGGACACAAUGGGGGUUGUAUGUGUUGCCUCCUACCCUGUACCAGAGGGCAAGAGCGGACAGCAGAUAGUGGAUGUGUUGCAGUCGAGAUUGGAACAACUGGGCGCUGAAAAGAGUGGACAGUUUAAUGUGGAUUGUGAAACUUAUCAAUCUCAAGUUCCUUCAGCUCAGAAUAGACUGGUGCACCUCCUACACAACAGUGAGCAGCCUGCGACAUGUUUUGCUGUCCUCGACACAGGCACGUGCUUAGUUGCGGACAAUCUCUUCAAUCUGCUCAUGUUGAAGCUGAAAAAUUUCUACCCUACAAGGAAAGGUUUUAAGAUAGAGUCCAAAGGACAAAGAUAUUCACUGGGGGAUUUUAUCAUUAAAAUAGGAUCUGUUACCUUUGGGCAAAAUAUUAGCUUUAAAGGAAUUUUGGUUGAGGUAGAGUAUUGUCCGUGUAUGGUCCCCGGGGACUGCUGGGACCUGAUGAAGGAAUUCAUGCAAGGAUUUAUGGGUAACUGUGUGGAAAAUCCCUCCAAUUAUCUUAAAACCAAGAUGGACAUAAUGUACACCCCAGCAGAUACCAUACAGCAGUAUUUAGAACACUUCAAAACUUUCAGGAAGGAAUCCCUGGCAGUGACACGGUGAAUGGUAGUCCUGUUCCACUGGAUGUUCUUUUUUUCCUAGAAACUUUUAUCUUUGAAAGAGUCAUAAAUGUUAUUCCUUUUC
rnacentral:misc_RNA from 1 species